ensembl:lncRNA LINC01347 long intergenic non-protein coding RNA 1347
GACAAAUUCGAGCAUCUUAAAAUGAUUCAACAGGAGGAGAUAAGGAGGCUCGAGGAAGAGAAAAAACAACUGGAAGGAGAAAUCAUAGAUUUUUAUAAAAUGAAAGCUGCCUCUGAAGCACUGCAGACUCAGCACUGAUACAAAGAAAGACAAACAUCCUGAUCCAUAUGAAUUCCUCUUAUUAAGAAAAAUAAAGCAUCCAGGAUUCAAUGAAGAACUGACUAUCACCUUGUUAAUCAUUCAGAAACAUGUUGCAGACUUAAGCCAUUUUUGAUAUAGAUACUGAAACAAUUACUUGCUAAGAGCAAACUUGAAGGUAUGGAUAAGGCCCUGAGUCAUCUUCCUGAGCUGAAUGAUAGUUAAGCUGAAUUAACAAUUUGGACAAGACAGCAAAUGCUAUUGUCCAAGUUUUCUAAAGAAGAAUCUGAAGUGAAAUGACAUCAAGAGACCUAUCAAGACCUGUAUCCAGGAAAAG